CCUACGGGAGGCAGCAGUGGGGAAUAUUGCACAAUGGGGGAAACCCUGAUGCAGCGACGUCGCGUGAGUGAAGAAGUAUCUCGGUAUGUAAAGCUCUAUCAGCAGGGAAGAAAAUGACGGUACCUGACUCAUAAGCCCCGGAUAACUAGGUGCAAGAAGCCGCGGUAAUACGUAGGGGGCCAGCGUUAUCCGGAUGUACUGGGUGUAACUGGGGCGUAGAAGGUGUGGCAAGUCCGUAGUGAAAGUUCAUGGCUGAACCGUGGUACUGGACUGGAAACCGUGGAGCGUGAGUGCGGGAGGGGCAGGCGGAAUUCGUAGGGUAGCGGUGAAAUGCGUAGAUAUGAGGAGGAACACCGACGGCGAAGGCAGCCUGCUGGACCGUAACUGACGUGGAGGCUCGAAAGCGUGGGGAGCAAACAGGAUUAGAUACCCGGGUAGUC
rnacentral:rRNA from 1 species